AUGGAGGGAUUGAGAAUUAGCAAGCUCGAAAAAGGUCAACAAUGGGGGAAGAACACGAGCUCAAGAGAUCAAGUAGAAUGGGGAAGAAGACCCCCUUAUAUAGUGGGGGGAACAAUCCAACCGUUACCCCCACUUCAGCCCCGCAGAGAGCGGUACUACCGCUUGGCCAGCGGUACUACCGCUUGCCCCUAUAAGCGGUACUACCGCUCCCCCUCGCGGUACUGCCGCUGGGCCCAGAGCGGUACUACCGCGGUGGCAGGGCGGUACUACCGCAUACGAGCGGUACAACGGCCCCCACUGCCGUGGCUAGUACCGUAA
rnacentral:rRNA from 1 species